AGUGAACGCUGGCGGUGGGCCUAACACAUGCAAGUCGAACGGCAGCACAGUAAGAGCUUGCUCUUACGGGUGGCGAGUGGCGGCUGGGUGAGGAAUACAUCGGAAUCUACUUUUUCGUGGGGGAUAACGUAGGGAAACUUACGCUAAUACUGCAUACGACCUACGAGUGAAAGCAGAGGAUCUUCGGACCUUGCGCGAUUGAAUGAGCCGAUGUCGGAUUAGCUAGUUGGCGGGGUAAAGGCGCACCAAGGCGACGAUCCGUAGCUGGUCUGAGAGGAUGAUCAGCCACACGGGACCUGAGACACACUCCAGACACCUACACUAGGCCGCAGUUCAGAAUAUUCGACCAUGGGGGCAAGCCUGAUAAAGCCAUACCGAGCGGGGGCAGAAGGCCUUCGGGUUGUAAAGCCCUUAUGUAGGGAAAGAAAAGCAGCAGUUUCAUAACCCGCUGUUCUGACGGUACCUAACGAAUAAGCCCCGGCUAAAUUCGUG
rnacentral:rRNA from 1 species